rnacentral:rRNA from 1 species
UACGUAGGGGGCUAGCGUUGUCCGGAAUCAUUGGGCGUAAAGAGCGUGUAGGCGGCCCGGUAAGUCCGCUGUAAAAGUCCAAGGCUCAACCUUUGAAUGUCAGUGGAUACUGCCGGGCUAGAGUCCGGAAGAGGCGAGUGGAACUCCUGGUGUAGCGGUGGAAUGCGCAGAUAUCAGGAAGAACACCAACGGCGAAGGCAGCUCGCUGGGACGGUACUGACGCUGAGACGCGAAAGCGUGGGGAGCAAACAGG